AAAUGCGGAAGAGAUAAGUGCUGAAAGCAUCUAAGCACGAAACUUGCCCCGAGAUGAGUUCUCCCUGACUCCUUGAGAGUCCUGAAGGAACGUUGAAGACGACGACGUUGAUAGGCCGGAUGUGUAAGCGCAGCGAUGCGUUGAGCUAACCGGUACUAAUGAACCGUGAGGCUUAACCUUACAACGCCGAAGCUGUU
rnacentral:rRNA from 1 species